rnacentral:lncRNA from 1 species
GAUCCACAAUCUCCUAGACCAGGUGGUAGUGGUGCAGAAUAUGCUUAGUGCAUUGAUGUGACUUCGAUUCUUUCACUUAAGCAAUGGCGCCAGUGCUGUUGUAGUAUAACAAGAUAGGACCAUCGAGAGAGGAUGUCACUCCGAGCUUGGUGAUGAACUUUCAUAACCAUAAUUUUCUUCGCAGCAUCGGAUGCCACGAUAUAUUUUGCCUUGCAAGUAG